AUAUCCGGUGAUGCAUAGUGAAGUUAAUAUCAGAGGGCAUUUCAGUCUUUAUAAUUAAAUAACGCAUAUAUGAGUUAUGGCUUCUUUAUCUACGAUCAAAAUAUUAUCGAAUAUAUAUAUUAAAAAUGCUAAUGCAUACAGAGAAAUUGGCUGCGCAAUAAGAAAAGUUAUAAGGGAAAAAAAGGUUCCAAAAGCAACUUAACAUGAAUAAAGUUGGAGGAAGCCCAGUCGCCAGGGCAGAGCAAGCAUUGAGAAACGAUUCUCCAUUUUGGGUUUGGAAGCAAUAAUAAUAAUAAUAAUAAUGAGUUAUUGAAACCCAAGCCUAAUAAAUGAAGGUUUGGCAGGACAGCUUCCUGACCACAAGUGACAACUCCACAAUGCUAAAGACGGUUGCUUAAGGGCACAGAUUUAUUUUUUUCAUAGGCUGGCUGUUGAAUCGGGGCAUUGAUGAUUGAUCUAUCUUAUCAAAAAAUGUACGUAUAUAAAAAUGCCAAACCCUUCUAUUUAAUGCCUCUGCAUCUUCUUCUGCAUUUCAGCAUUUGUCCUCUCAUCUUUUUCAUCCUACUAAAUAUUGAAACACACACACAUACCACAAAAAAUAAAAGCAUUUUCAAGCGAGAAAUCUUAAUUGCCAAACAUCAAUUAACAAUGAAAAGUCAAUUGUAUUGAAAAGGUUGUCAACAACGUGCAUGCAUACAUCAGCCUUUUAUUGUUUAGCAGUUAUAGUCAAAUUAUUUUAUUUGUUGAAAGGCUCAGAGCUAGUUAAGGUUAGGAAAUGUGCAUUCAAUUCAUUCAAAUAUAUACACUCCCAUUGGUCCUCUACCCCUUAUAAAUAGACCCCAGAACUACUCUUAACAGAUCAAAAGGUCCUUUCUUCUCUGCUUCUAACUUCAAACUCCUCUUUGAAGUCUCUUUCUGAAAUCAUCAUGAGAAAUUAUAGCCUCCCUUUACUUGUAGUUUUCACAAUCAUUUUGUGUACUCUCCAUCUCUGUAGUUGCAGGCAUAUCAGCUGGGCUACCCAUCAACAAACAGAUCAAACAAUGAGCACAAAGUUUUCUUUUCCAUUUCCUCAUCAUCUCUCUGCUAUUUCUCGCUUUCUGCAAUCCGGAGAUGACAAGGCCAGUACAGUGUAUGGUGUAUCGCAUAAACUUGUUCCAGGCGGACCAAAUCCACUUCACAAUUGAUGGAAUUUUCCAUUUAACCAUCUCGUUUCGGCGGGAAGAAUCCACAGGUUUCUUUUAUAGCUACGUAUAGAAAAGAAAGAAAGAAAGAAAAAAUUCCACAGUUGUCUUUUGUAGUUGGUUCUUGAAAAGAAUGAUAAGGGAAGGAAAACGAGAGAAAGAUGCUCAAAAAAUGGCCUCCUUCCAUAGGACUUGUUCAAUGUACUUCUCAGUUCUUUCCUUCAUUCUUUCCACGAACCAACUUGUUCGGAUUUGUAGAAUUCUAUUUGCGUUACCAUUGUAAAGAGCAUCAAUUUAUUUACUAUUUAAACUAAAAUCUUGAGGAAAGUGCAAGUUGAUUUUUGUGUCCCAUGAUUAUGUUGCAUUUGUAUUUGAGGACUGCAUCAAAACAUACGAUUCCAUCACCAGCAAAAUUUGCAUUUAGAGCUGUCGUCAGCGAUUAAUGAUUAAUCAAUGAAGAGAACAGAGUAAGAAACAA
rnacentral:lncRNA from 1 species